AUUUAUGUGCUGUACACUCCUAAACCUUUUCUCAGAGCGAUAUUUCAUUUCACCCAGCGAUGCGACUGUUAGACAGGGAAGUUGGUUUUAACAAGGAAAACACCGAAAGUAACAAUAUGAAUUGCUCUGCAGUGCGCAGAUGCGGAGGUCACUGGGAAACACCAGAAAUAUUUUCUUUCACUCGCGAUGCUCUGGAGCAGAUGGGGAAGUUGGUUUUAACAAAGAAAACACCUAAAAUGGUUCAUGCUGGCUUAACAGAAAAAUCAAAAGGAGAUGAUGUGCUUGAAGAGUAUGAAGCCACCAAUAUAUGAGAGUUGUCCAACCUCAACGCAGAGAGAUCAGUAUGCACUUGGAAUUGUGACUGUCUCUGUCGUUAGAAGACCCAUUUUUUAGGGAAGGUGUGUGAUGCUGCAAAUAGGAGUGGAUAUCUUGCUUGGCUGAAAACUGCUGAGAAACGCAUCUUGUCGUGCUGAAAAAAAGAAGUCUAGAAGAGAGAAAAAGACUAUUCUCUCCAAGGAGGUCCAAACACCAUCACAGACAUUGAUUAGUGAGCAUUAACAUGUAUUCUGCAUUUAUGGUAAUGAAUGGAAUGCUGUUGUUUAACCUGAUAAAUGUCAGCAUUAUACAUCUUAUGACAUUAAGAGUACAUAUGGACCAAAUAAGAAUGUUUUUUGUGUCUUUGCACUGAUUUGCUUUGACAUUAUGAUGUUUAAUUGUUGUAAGGUCAUGCUCUUUACAUUGAAUUUUAUAAUUUUACAUUUAGAAUUUAUUUAUUUAUUUUAUUUUGAAUUGCUUUGAAUUGAAACAUUGAAAGUGAAGACAUUUUGGUGCAGGGAAAAAAAUUACAAUGUUUCAAUAAAAUAAAUAAAUGUAAACAUUUAUUGUUUUGUGGGUUUAUUUUUUAAUAUUUUCACCUGAACACUGGGGCAGUGUUGACCAGUUAAUCCAUCAGUGUUAACUUUGAACACCAACUUUGGUGUUCUCAUCAUCAAUUCUGGUGUUAAUAUUUUACACCUUAAGAGUUUGUUGGUUAACACUGUC